rnacentral:rRNA from 1 species
CACAAGCGGUGGAUCAUGUUGUUUAAUUCGAUGAUACGCGAAGAACCUUACCAGGUCUUGACAUCCCCUGCAAAGCUAUGGAGACAUAGUGGAGGUUAUCAGGGAGACAGGUGGUGCAUGGUUGUCGUCAGCUCGUGUCGUGAGAUGUUGGGUUAAGUCCCGCAACGAGCGCAACCCUUAUUGCUAGUUACCAUCAUUCAGUUGGGGACUCUAGCGAGACUGCCAGUGAUAAACUGGAGGAAGGUGGGGAUGACGUCAAAUCAUCAUGCCCCUUAUGACCUGGGCUACAAACGUGAUACAAUGGCUGAAACAAAGGGCAGCGAAGCAGUGAUGUGGAGCGAAACCCAAAAAAGCAGUCUCAGUUCGGAUUGAAGUCUGCAACUCGACUUCAUGAAGUCGGAAUCGCUAGUAAUCGCGGAUCAGAACGCCGCGGUGAAUACGUUCUCGGGGUUU